GGUCACCAGAGGAGAAAUAUAUAAGUUCAGACAUAGUAUUGACUUUUUGAACACUUUACUCUAACAUGCUCACCCAGUUAACUUUCAUAAUUUGUAAAUUAAGUCUCUUUUGUCGUUUUACCUUAGUUAGAGAUGCACCAAUUAGUCAAUGUACAAAGUACAAACACAAUAAAAGAAAUACAAAAAGAGAUUUUCUUUUCUUUUUUUUUGGGGUUUUUUUUAUCGGGAACGGAAAAGAAUUUUUCUUUAGAUGCCUUUUUCUUUUUUUAUUAUUAAUUUUUCUUUAGAUGCCUUCUUAAAUGCAUUGAACUAUUUCUGGAGUUAAGGACGUGUAUUUACUAACUACGGAGCAGUGUGGCACACCAAAGUGCAAUUCUCUUACAAGCUACAAGAGGUUGAAUUUUGGCAUUCGUGAUUCAAAAAAUCAGUAGGUCGCACUUGACUACAUUGGUAAAAGAGGACCUACUGUUGGUUUCACAAGAGAAAGGAGAUUUAUGUUGGGAACUUCUUGAUCUUCUGUUUUUAUGCUUUUGUGUUCCUCGAUUGCUUAGUAGUACUUGUGCUCUGUAUUGCAGGUACACCAAAGAGAUCCUCCAAAGGGAAAUGGUUCCACAUGUUGGUACUAGAGAGUAAUGUGAAACUAAGAAGUCCUACUAUUUUGACUGAGUCUAUGAACCUGAAUUUGGAAUUUAUGAAUAUAGAAUAUUCGUUUUUGAUUACUCUAUAUUCAAACAGCAAUCGUUCAGCUGAAAUAUUCCAUCUAUCAGCAUCAAUGUUGUUACAAAUUUUAUAUCUCACAUUUUGAAUAUUGAUUUCGCCUUAAAUUUCUCAAAAGCUUUGUAAUUGGUUUUGAGUGCUGAUUACCUUUGUAAUAAAAUAUUUAUUUUUUAGAUGUCAA